UUUUACGGGUGAGAUAGCGAGAGAACCCGAGUCGUGUAUUUAUACGGAUUUCGCCCAGCACUGUUUGGAUUCGGUGUAUAAAAUUUGUAGGUCCCCUCACGUACAGUUGGAUAAGGCCCGUUUCACAAGGUACAUCGCCAUCUAGUGUUGAACCUCCAAUCCUCGAUUAUUAGGACCAGUUACUGGCACAUGUCCCCCACUGGGGAUACAGCCAUAAGGAAAGGAAGGAAGGAAGAAACCCGAGUCCUGAUUGCGUAGAAAGUUCGCGUCCUGUAAAUCAAGGAUAUUUAUCGUCUAAUUCGCUGGAAAGCUCCGCGGGGACCGAAUUGUUCAUCCUGCCAAUUGUAUAACCCGAAGUUGAAACGAAAAGGAAACUGGAAUCCUCGUGUAUUCCCGAGGCUUAGCUGUUCGGCAUCGAAGAGGGUGUCUCCAACUUAUUUCCAUUAGCCUGCGGAGGGCGUCUAUGGAAAAAGUCGAGUCGCUUGCACGAGGCAGCUCCGUCUAUAUCGAUUACUCGUGAAUUCGCCGUAAAGAGGAUUCUCGGGUAACGAUAAAGGAAAAUGUGAAUGCCAGGAGAAUAUAAAGAAACUGAGAGAAAAUGAAAUGCGGUAUUAUACAAUAACGAUUAAUGUUUUAUUAAAGGACAACUGUGAAUGGCAGUAACACGGUGCAAUGAGAUCGGAAGGGCUACUUAAUAUUAGUGAUAAAAGUGACAGAGUGGAUAGUCAACAUGAAAAUAAGGGUGGUCCGACACCAGAGCGACGAGUCCUCGACAUGAGAAUAAUACACUGCGAGUCUUCUCAAGUUCCAGGCUUGAUAAACGGUCAGUGGUGUUCGUGCUGCCUUACAAAGCUUCCAAGUGCGGCUGGUCUUAAACGUAAAAAUAAAUGUGGCAACGUACAUUGAGACGGAGCACCGUUGCGAACGAGGAGUCAUUCAAAAGGGAAGGGUCUUUGUUGUCGAAGGGAUGAGAGGUAUAAGCGAUGCUGGCGAUGGCGGCGACCGCAGGGACGCUGGAGCCGAGGAGCCCCAGGAAGGGCAGGGCACGAGCUGAAUGGAAGGGCAGGCUGGAAGAAGAGACGUGGAAAAAGGAGAAGUAGAUGAUGAGGAGGAGGAGGAGGAGGGGGAGGAAGAAGAAGAAGAAGAAGAAGAAGAGAGAACUGAAGGAAGCCAAAGAGUGGCAGGGCAGGGGGCGCCAGUGCUGGCUGUGCUGGCUGUGCUACCUGACAAGUUCUUUCCUUUGUCCCUAGCCUUGCAUCCGUCUCCCUUUUUUCUCAUUCCAAGGCAAUCUUCCUCCUCCUCCGCUCCAUCCAUCCUUCACUCACUCUCGUUCUCUGUAUUUCAUCCUCUUCCUCCUAUAUCUUCCAUCUCAACCUUUCCGAUUACCUCUACCAGGUUAUGCGCUGCUUCCCAGUCAGCAGUCUUCUCUUGUGUCUCUCUUUUGUUCUGUCCUUGUCUCUCCUCUGUCUCUUCAUUCUCUUUAUCACUCUCUCUCUCUCUCUCUCUCUCUUUUCUCUAUCUUCUUGGGAGUGAGAGAGAGAAAGAGCAUUGGUAUCUAUCUUCUCACUGGUUGCAGCUCAGACACUUCCACCAGCCCACCCAGCCGGCAUGUUAUACUUCGGGACGAAGCCUCCGGCAAAUGAGCCAGAAGAAGCUGCGCUGAUGCUGUACGGAUGGAAACGAGCCACCUUAACCAUAUCGAUAAUAAAAGAUUCCAUUGCAGCAACUCAUGCAUCUACUUGGAUUCAAAAAAAUUUCAUCACGUCUCAGCUAACCAAGCGGCAGCCGGCACUUGGCCCUCUAUGAGGGCAUAAAGCCAAAAGGCCAAAGAAGAAGAAUAAACAAGCAGCAGUUGAAACGGUGGCACAAAUCGUAUCACCAUUACUACUUGACACUCAGUCGUUAUCACGAACCUCGACAUCCUGGAGACGUUAAACCGGACAACGUCGACAUUUACUCAGGUCGGAUCCUUCUCAAACAGGAUAUCGCAUUUGGUUUCUAUGCUGGACACUUCCGGCCGUCACCAACCUUUCCUGUAUUUAAUGGAUGGCCAUUACCAGGAACAAAGGAAGAGAAUUUCACCACGAUCACUAAUUACACUUCGUGCGCUCCAACUGCUAACUAUCGAAGCGUAAUGUUCCUUCGGAAAAUCAUGCAGAUGUUAUCGCAACCCCCGAAGGGUCCCUUGUGGGCUACGUACCUGGAGGGCAUCCAUCAUUAUUCGAAACGCGUUAGGUCACUCGAAUGAGAAUGAAUCGAAACCGUAUUGGAACCAGUGCUCUUUGCGGCCUUUACAAAACGUUCGAUUAACAGUACGUUGUACAGCAUAGUGAGAAUCCGCCUUGCGGUUCCACAGCGAAAAGAUCGCGCGAUGUAUCUCGUACUUGAUCUUUAUUCAGAGUCGAGCGUUGUAGCCAGGAGUGUAUCCGGUGAUCGAAUCACCCUGCGCAAAUUUUCUUAUUUCUCUCAUCGAAUCUUCUUUAUAUUCAAGACCGGUAACAAUUGUCAUACAUUACUUCUCUUCCUUCCAAGGGUCUGAAUUUAUCUUCCUUUUUUUUCUCAGCCUUUUAUUUUCUUCCCCAUUCAUUUUACCGUCUCUUACCCUAAUUUCCGAUCUAGGCGAGAUAAUAGACUGUGCCACGUCCUUCACGAGGUGCUGCUAUCAACUAUUAUAAGCUCUAUGUAUAGCUACCAGAACCAUCAUUCACUUCAUCCUGCGUUCCUAAAGGAGAGCCGAUGUUUUUAGAAGGCCUUUGUAAGAGCCGCACUCGGUCUUGGUUUUUAACAUCCUCCCCUCUCCUCCCUGCUUCACCGUUCUCCCCUUCCUGGCACUUAUCCUCCUCGCUCAGUUACCCUUGGCGCACCCGUCACGUUCUCACCCAUUGGUACCCAGGGCGAAUAAAUCUUUGACCAAGAAGUCAUAAAACAUACGUUACUGGUGGUAUAUGUCGCUGACGAUAAAAACCAUCUCGUGGAUAAUCAUAUGUGACCCUUUGAUAGUUUAAUAUAUAUAUAUAUAUACAUACAUUAUACGAUAAAAAUUGUUAAAUCAAGUAUGAACGUUUAUUGGACAAUUUACGGUGCACCGUUUUACCACCGUACGUACGUACAUUUUACUGACGAGUAUUGCAGUUCUAUGGGAAUUUGACCUAAGCGCUUUCAGGUUCUUAUUUUAAAAGUUAAAAGUUUAUUGACGAUGUCGAUAAUUAGCUGGUAGCCUACUUAGCAUGAAUCAAGUAAAGGACAGCGCGCAGCAUAUCAUCUGCAAUUAGAAACGGGGCUCGGGAUGAGGCCAUUGAAAUUCUGUCGGUGCUCGAAAGUGAAAACGCUUGCGAAAUAAAACGUCACGGCACGACUUGUGCACGAGUGGCAAGUUAACGAUACAGGUAUCUGGGAAUUAAUUGUCCUAUAGCGACUAAUACGCGUUAUUUAUUAGACUUUAAACGGCGAGCGGAUAGGAUUAUGAACACGAUUCGUUUGUGAGGCACGAAAUGCCCGGGAAAGCCUGAACUAGAUAGAUAAACUUUGAAAUAUCGAUGUAUCGCAACAGGCCUAUUCGUAGAGAACGAGGAAACAUUAUUUUGUCAAUAUAUAACUAAUACACUUGUUUUUACAAGAUAACCACGUCACUCAAAGAGACUAUCGACUAAAUAUACAUACGUGAUAUACGUUCCAUUAAAAGUAUAAGAAACUAUCUUAAUAGACUGGAUAAGACGUCGCUAUUCAAAACUUUACUGUAAUCAUGUUAAAUUGAUAUAAUGAUACCGUAAACGAGUUCGGUAAGUGUAUUGGAUAUUUUUAAGUAAUUGGAUAGUCUAUACAAUUAUACCUGUAACGAGUAUAUUGAUAGUCUUACGGCAUAGGCGUAUAUCUAUAUUAUCAUUGGCGAUUCCCUCAAGCAAAUCGGUCCGAGGGUCGCAAAUUCGUGCGGUCAUGGCUAAUCCGCAAAAUACGUAUUACGCUGAGGUGUUGAUCGUAUUAAGGGCGUCGCGUUCGGUAUUCUACGCGAUUACCGGGAAUCCCAUUAGCUUGUCCGUUGAAAAUCCGCCGGAAGGGAAAUUGGGGAAUACAGCACGAAGAUGUUGUAUAGGAAAGAGUUAAUUGUGAAAUUACUUUUACUUCCUGUGUUAUAAGGUGCUUUUUCUCUAUUGUACUAGCGGCAAUGGAGCCUUGGCUCUGCUUUUA